rnacentral:tRNA from 1 species
GCACUGCAGCCUCCAGCGGUUUUCCCGCGCUGCCCUCCGAAGGCAGAGGUCAGAGGUUCAAAUCCUCUCGGGUGCGCCA